rnacentral:tRNA from 13 species
UGGAGGCGUCGGGUAUCGACCCCUAUACCUGUCGCAUGCUAAGCUAGCGCUCUACCUUCUGAGCUAAGCCCCC